GGGGGGGUUGGGGCUUGGGAUGCAGCCGGACCUCCGGGAACAGCAGGGGGCCCUGGAGCCACCAGGAGGGAGAAGGCCCCGUCCCUGAGCCAGGCUCGCAGGAUGUUUAUCCCAGGAAAUCCAGAGGAUCAGAACCAGGCAGGACCCGGCACUGGGACGGAGGCAGCUGUCUGCGGGGCGUUUACCGUAGAUACGUAUCACCUGUUCUGAGACAGAGCCUGGGAGGCUGUUUUUAAUCAUCCGGGAGGUUGUAAAAUGUUUCCCGACGUUACGAGGACAGCUGCUGGAAUAAUGAUGCAGGUAGCUGGCACACACGCAGUGCAAAGGUUUCACCAGACAUGGUCUUCUAUGCCUAUCACCUGGUCAAUACGAGCAGCAGCCACGUUAAGGUGUAAUACACACUGGCGUCAUCUAACGUUCCAUGUGAGGAAACUGAGGCACACAAAGGGCAACUGGCUUGCUCAAGGUCGCGUGAAUGGCAAAGCGUGGAUCUGGGAUUCAAGCCCAGACAAUUGGGCUCCAGAAUUGACUUUAUUAGUCAUGAUCACUCCAGAGAAAACAUCAAGCACUUUUCAUUACAUGUUUAAUGAAAAUGAUGUUAAAGUGGUUUUGUAGGAGAAAACAUUUCAUUCAUGUAAAUACAUUUUACUGCAUUCUAAAAUCUAGCAGGAAAAGAUGUGGCCUAACUACCGUCAAGAUCUGGGUACAUUUCAUUGGAAAUACAAGCACAUUGGACAUGGGAAAAUACUGGGGAACUUUACAUGGAAGAGAAUGCAUCUGAUAGUCUGGCGCACUAGCAUUUGCUGGAUUUUUAGGACAUAUGGGAGGCCGGGUGCGGUGACCUCCCCCAGCAAUCCCAGCAAUUGGGGAGGCUGAGGCCGGUGGAUUGCUCGAGCCCAGGAGUCCAAGACUAGCCCGGGCAAUAUGGUAAAACCUCAUCUCUAUGAAAAAAAAUACAAAAAAUUAGCCGGGUGUGGUGGUGCACAGCUGUAGUCUCAGCUACGUGGGAGGUUGAGGUGGGAGAAUCACCUGAGCCUGGGGAAGUCAAGGCUGCAGUGAGCCGAGAUUGCACCACUGCACUCCAGCCUGGGUAACAGAGUGAGACCCUGUCUCAACAAACAAAACACAAAAAUAUAUAUAUGCUGAAUGCUCAGUGAGCUGUAACAUGUGAGGCAGCCCCCAGGGGUGCCGAGAUGAACCGCUAAGAAGGCGUAUGUUCCCACGGGGUGCAGAGAUGAACCCCUGUCUGAGAAGGCGCAUGUACCCAUGGGGUGCAGCGAUGAACCCCUGUCUUGAGAAGCCGCAUGUACCCACGGGGGUGCAGAGAUGAACCUCUGGGAAGGCGCAUGUACCCACAGGGUGCAGAGAUGAACCCCUGUCUGAGAAGACGCAUGUACCCACGGGGGUGCAGAGAUGAACCUCUGGGAAGGCGCAUGUACCCACAGGGUGCAGAGAUGAACCCCUGUCUGAGAAGACGCAUGUACCCACGGGGGUGCAGAGAUGAACCUCUGGGAAGGCGCAUGUACCCACAGGGUGCAGAGAUGAACCCCUGUCUGAGAAGGUGCAUGUACCCACGGGGUGCAGAGAUGAACCCGUCUGAGAAGGCACAUGUACCCACGGGGUGCAGAGAUGAACCCCUGAGAAGGCGCAUGUACCCACGGGGUGCAGAGAUGAACCCAACUGAGAAGGAGCAUGUACCCACGGGGUGCAGAGAUGAACCUGUCUGAGAAGGCGCACACACCCACAGCUGCCCCUCAUCUUAGCACCACAGUGCCAGCCCCACCCUGUCUUUGAUAAGCCCUGGCCUUCCAGGGCCUCCCUCAGAGAACCAGCCCCUGCGGAGUCCCUGAACGUAGCUGCGGUCUGGGGUGCCGACCCUCGGCACUGGGAGAAACCCUCACCAGUAGCAUCACCCCCCAGUGAGCCAAGAUCGCACCACGGCAGCAUCACUGGGGAGGGAGUCACGUGGUUGUCACUGCAGAACUCUGGAGAGGCAGGCUCUUGCGUGGGUGGGGGCCAUGGAGGACGCAGCGUGGGAUUUAAAAUGAGCCCAGUGAAGGGAAAUGCUGGUUCUUCAAUGUCCAUGAGCUCAAGCCCUGUGGGAGGUGUAGCCUCGAUUAUUUUGCACAGAUCUGAACAGCAUUCACCCCCAGUUGGAUAUGGCCCUUUCCUCGAAGCACAGAUUGGAACUCAAGGUCACUGAAGUGCUUUCUGGCCGCAUCAUGGAGAGAAAGGCAUUUUCUCACUCAGGCAUCACCCCGGGAACGUGGCGUGCCAUGUUUUAGCAUCUAAGUGUGUCCCCCGAGGAGGCAGGGUUAUGCCGUAAUCACAAGCAAACCCCAAACCUCAACGGCAUAAACGACACAGGGUAAUUUAUCAUGGGAUUGCGUGUCCACCUGGGUCCCCGCGGAGCUCUGUUGACUGGAGUCGCUCGGAGCCCCCGGCGCGAAUGCUGGAUGGCUGGGCGGGGAGGAGCGCUCAGGGGCUUCACGCUGUCAACACCCCACUCCGAAGUGACUCCCGCUGCUUCCAGCAGUCACCUGCUGGACAGAGACCGUCACACGGGCCCCUUCACGCAGUGGGGUGGGAAGGGAGAUCCUACCGCGUACCUGGAAGACGGGAGAACAGGGGUGUUUCGGUGAGUAGUGCUCUCUCUCAGUCCGCACGGCAGCCUUCCAGCAAAUCGGGAUUUUAUGCCAAACUCGCCCCACGCCCCCAAAUGCCAGGUUCCCCGGGGUAGCAACGAAUGACACGUUGUCCAAUCAGACUUCAGUGUAACCAUGUCACAGAAGACAUGACUAAAGCAAAACAGGACUGGGUGGGGCGCAUUUUGGUUUUGACGAGGUUGGGUCUGGGUCUCUGCUUCCCUCUCCUGGGCCAAGAUCCUCUGGGCGUGGAGUUCAGGAAUGAGGGUGGGACCUUCCCCAGGAGACCCAAGUAUGGGCAGCGGUUGCUGGGACCAAGUCCUCACUGAGAGUGACUUCGACAAACAUCCAUUGGCAGCUCCAGCUUAGGCCCAGGAGACAAAGUGGGGGUCACUGACACCCCGGAUUUUUUUUUUAAUGACUGAGUCAUGAUUUGAACACUGGUCUGUUGGAUUUCAAGAUCUGUGAUUUUCUCACUGAACACGCUAACUCCUGGGACAGCAGAGAGUUCCUUAGAUUGGACCUAAUAACACACUGAUCCCCUCCCCUCCUGCUUUUCUGUAUUUUUUAAAAAUUAUUUUGUUUUUAAUUCACAAAUAUUGUAUAUGUUAUAUGGGGUAGAAUGUGAUGUUGAUAUAUGUUUAAAAUGUGGAAUGAUUAAAUCAGGC
rnacentral:lncRNA from 1 species